AGUUGGCAGUCCUGAUCGUCAUCCUCAAUAUUGCAGCAUCAGGCCCUUUCCCCCUUCUUAAUUUUUUGUAUUAGUCGUGAAUUACUCUUUUCAAUUUCGAACUUGUUUGCAUCAAGAAUUUUUGCUGUUCGUAUGUAUAUAUUCUGAUCUUGUUUGCAUAAAGAAUUUGGCCAAUAUUUGGAAGAACUGAAAGGAUUGAGCUUUUGCUUAUAAUCGAAUCAAUUCUUGAUUUCUUGCAAUAUACAAUUUGUGAUUUUCUUUUGCAUGCCUGAUAAUGUCCUCAUAGCUAACAGAAGCUUGUCCUUCUGAUUGAUUUGGUUGUCUGCCACGUUCGUUGCAGGCUACCUGUUCGACGGAAUGCAACAGGGAGACAGCUUUUAACCUGGAUCGUGUUAGCUAUCAUUGGACGGUGCUGCCGACAGAGUACAGCUCGGCUGCAGGACUCAAGGAGGAACAACCACGACUUGCAGCAGAUGCCCAAAUCCCAAUUUCGCGUCCUGCCUCUUUCUUGUGAUUCAGUUUGCAUUUGCAAAUGCCAUUUACAGAGCAGUCCUUGUAGUGCUGUUGGCUGGCAUAUCGCCAUUGGUCUCAACUCUUUUGAUGUCCAGCUCUAGCCUCUAGGACACCAGAUCAAACCGACUGGCAUCAGCAUCUGCAAUGUGCACUUUGGCAGGUGGAUGCACAUCUUGAUGGCAUGGUGGUUGGUAAUUGCUCUGCUGAAGAUGGACAUGAAACUAGAAAAGAACAUGAGAAGAUUAAGCCAGUGGUGGUGGUGCCACUGGAAUGCCAUCCUGGUCAUUAUCCUCAACAUGUCCUUAAUCAACGCUCGUCGCCGGCGGCCAACACCAAAGGGCAGGGGUGAUGCAGAGAUGUCAACCCCUUCAUCAACGCUCGUCGCCGGCGGCCAACACAAAGGGCAGGGGUGAUGCCGAGAUGUCAACCCAGGACGAGCACACCACAAUUGAUGACCUGCUUCGGUGGCAGGCGAUGCCCUCUAGACUGAUUUUUUUGGUACCGAGUGUAUAUGUGUGUUUGUAACGAUAAUGGCACGAUCAAUUGUAAAAACAAAAAACCAUUAUACCCGUAUUCUAGUGCAGUAAAAUAUUUACUGCCUUAUAUAUCAGGCCCAAUCAAUUACUAAGUAACUUUUUUACUCCCUCUAUGAUUGGAUGAUUCGAAUACAUAUUAGUAAUUUUUUUUACUCCAUGAAUGUAAUUUUGUUUAUCACAUGAUAGAAACAAAUUCAAUUGUCAAGA